rnacentral:rRNA from 1 species
UACGGAGGGUGCAAACGUUGCUCGGAAUCAUUGGGCGUAAAGCGCACGUAGGCGGCCUGCUAAGUCGGAUGUGAAAGCCCCGGGCUCAACCCGGGAAGUGCAUACGAAACUGGCAGGCUUGAAUAUGGAAGAGGGUCGCGGAAUUCCCGGUGUAGAGGUGAAAUUCGUAGAUAUCGGGAGGAACACCAGUGGCGAAGGCGGCGACCUGGGCCAAUAUUGACGCUGAGGUGCGAAAGCGUGGGGAGCAAACAGG